GCAAAAAAAAUUAUUGCGCUAGCUUACUUGGUUGCAGAGCUACCGGGAUUUAAAAAUAGUUACCCAAAACAGAGCGUGCCCGCUCCGAUCGGCUGUAAAGGGUUAAUAGCUGUGUUAUUAUUUAUAAUGCAUCUUUUUAUCAUGUGCAGAUCUACCAAGGGUCGGUGGCACAGUUCAACUUUUGUGAUUUGUGCGGAGUUCCACCGAGUCACAAACAUCAACCUGCGGAACCAGUUCUACGCUGAACUUGACAGACACACACCACGACUUAUGGCUCUAUACAGACAGAAGGCUGCACGGACUGGCAAGAUAACGGAGGCUCUGUGAACCAUCCUGAAUCAUUAUGAUCUUCAGGAGGCGCCUGAUUUCAACGUGAAACACACUGCAGUGCUUUUUUAUAAAAAAACAAAUGUUCUACACUGAAUUUAUGGUGCCCAUGUCCAUAUUAGUGGUUUUAUAAAAACACUAAGUGAUGUUUUUACAUUUCCA
ensembl:lncRNA